CCGCCCGUAGCUCAGUUUGGUAGAGCAGCGGCCUUUUAAGCCGAGGGUCCCAGGUUCGAGUCCUGGCGGGCGGACUA
rnacentral:tRNA from 1 species